UAACCUUAUCACAUGAGUUACUAAGCUAAAUAAUACCAAUUAGAUAUAUAUUGCGCUGUUAAACUCAAAAUAUUUCAGUUGUUUCUGACGAGUUGAACCAAACAAUACUAGAAUCAUGAGGGCAAAUAUUUUGUUCACUGUAACCUUGUGCAUAGCAAGCUCGAUUGCGUUGCCCACUUCAAAUGUGAAGCCAAUUAGCAACUUUGACAACUGUUUCGAAAUUUUGAUAAACUCUACUGCUGAAGAGUACAUGACCAAUAAUAAAAUAGUGGAAGAAUGUGCAGCCACAGGCUGUCAGGAACAGAUCAAAGCUAUCGAGCAAGAAAACAAAGGCUUAAUGGCUAUGUACAUUUAUGGUAUAUCAAUGAAUACUGAUUGCCUCCCAGGAUGCAACGGCAAUAAAGAAUGCGAAGAGAGCUGCGUUGCCACGUAUGACAAUCUACUGCAAGGAUGUGUGAUAGACCUCAACGUAAUGAUCAAUAUGAGUCUCGGUAAAAUGCUGGACACAUGUCCUAAAGUAAGCGAAUGCGCUCGCUCCGCUUACGAUAUAUUUGUCAAUAAGAAGAUAAUUGCUGCACGUAGAGAAUUUGUCAGUUGUUUGUCAGUUUAAUUUGUUUCUUUUUAAAUUAAAAAAUCAAUAAAUAUAUGGAAAUAAAUAAUA